rnacentral:rRNA from 1 species
AAUAGAUACCCGGGGUAGUCCAUGCCGUAAACGUUGGGCACUAGGUGUGGGGGGACAUUCCACGUUUUUCCGCGCCGUAGCUAACGCAUUAAGUGCCCCGCCUGGGGAGUACGGGCCGCAAGGCUAAAACUCAAAGGAAUUGACGGGGGGCCCGCGACAAGCGGCGGAGCAUGCGGAUUAAUUCGAUGCAACGCGAAGAACCUUACCAAGGCUUGACAUGAACCAGACCGGGCUGGAAACAGUCCUUCCCCUUUGGGGUUGGUUUACAGGUGGUGCAUGGUUGUCGUCAGCUCGUGUCGUGAGAUGUUGGGUUAAGUCCCGCAACGAGCGCAACCCUCGUUCCAUGUUGCCAGCGGGUAGUGCCGGGGACUCAUGGGAGACUGCCGGGGUCAACUCGGAGGAAGGUGGGGACGACGUCAAAUCAUCAUGCCCCUUAUGUCUUGGGGCUUCACGCAUGCUACAAUGGCCGGUACAAAGGGUUGCGAUACUGUGAGGUGGAGCUAAUCCCAAAAGCCGGUCUCAGUUCGGAUUGGGGUCUGCAACUCGACCCCA